UCACUAUGAUGAAAUAUCUUAUCCAGUUCUGCUACUGAAAUAACAUGUGGAAAUCUUACCAACCAAACUGAUUC